AAAAGAAUUCAUUAUUUAAGUCUUUUUAAACUGUUUUGGAAAAUCUGAAGUUUUAUUAUACUCUCAGAUUAGUUCUCCAGGACCUAUAACCAGAGAGGAGGAUUUUAAAAUGGAGCAAUAUCCCUUUUUAUUGACUCUAUCACACACAGGGAUUUAGAUAGAGAUGGCCAUGGGCUCCAGAGAUGAGAAGGGACAUACAACAGACGGUUGACAACUUCUCGGUAGGUUUGCCUAUAACUUCAGCGUCUUUAAUCAAACUCCUAAAUUUACUACUUUAGAGAAGCUGUGUCAUUCUGUCCUUCAAUAUACACUCAAAAAUCUGAAGCCAAAAGCACAGCUAACUCAAAGGACUGCUGACUUUGUGGCGUCAGCACCGUUAGGGUGAAACAAGAAAUCCUGGAAUGAGCUGGCUACUGUUAAUUGCACCUGAAAUUGAACCACACCUGAGGAAAAAGUAUGUGCACUCAGCCCCUAUUCUCUCUAUUCCUCAACCAGCGAUCUCUGGAGCUCCUGGAGACUGACAGAACCAGGCAGUGCUGUUGGAAGAGGCUUUCCUUCAUCAAUUCAUCUUGGUGAAGCAAAAUUAAUAUGAAAUGGCUUGUGCUAGUAAAAUCAAGUCCUUGGGUGGAGUGCGUAUUGGACAUUAUCAGCAAAGCUAAGCUGCCCAGCGAGACAUUAUAUUGCCCAGCUUCCUCUUCAGUCAUGUGUGGUCAGAUGACAGCAUUUCCUCCUACAAAAUGUGAAUAGAAGAGAUAUGCACAGCUUCCACUCUACUUUCCCAACAGAAAAUCACUUCAUCUGGACUUCCUGUUUUCCUCUGUUCUUGCAGAAGGGAGGGCAGGCUUCAGAGACCAGCCUUCAUCAUGCAGACAAGGAUGGCAGCCUGGGAAUAGCACCGUUUAUGGAACUCACAGGCACUCCCUUUCUCUGGACUAGUCAAGAGAGUUGUAUAAAAGCAAAUAAAACUUCAUUUUAUUUGGACAGCUCUAA